GAGGAACGCUGGCGGCGCGCCUAACACAUGCAAGUCGAACGGUUAAAGCACCUUUUAGGUGUGUAUAAAGUGGCGAACGGCUGAGUAACACGUGGGCAACCUGCCCUCCUCUUGGGGAUAGCCUCGGGAAACCGAGGAUAAUACCCGAUACUUCAAUGUGGCCGCAUGACGACAUUGAGAAAGCUUUUGCGGAGAAGGAUGGGCCCGCGGCCUGUUAGCUUGUUGGUGGGGUAGAGGCCUACCAAGGCAAUGAUGGGUAGCUGGGUUGAGAGACCGACCAGCCAGAUUGGGACUGAGACACGGCCCAGACUCCUACGGGAGGCAGCAGUGGGGAAUCUUGCACAAUGGGCGAAAGCCUGAUGCAGCGACGCCGCGUGCGGGACGAAGGCCUUCGGGUUGUAAACCGCUUUCAGCAGGGACGAGGCGAAAGUGACGGUACCUGCAGAAGAAGCCCCGCUAACU
rnacentral:rRNA from 2 species